UACGUAGGGUGCGAGCGUUGCCCGGAUUUAUUGGGCGUAAAGGGCGCGUAGGCGGCUCUGCACGUCCGUUGUGAAAUCGCCCGGCUCAACUGGGCGGGGUCAGCGGAUACGGCGGAGCUUGAGCAAGCUAGGGGGCAAUGGAAUUCCCGGUGUAGUGGUGGAAUGCGUAGAUAUCGGGAGGAACACCAGUGGCGAAGGCGGGUCUCUGGACAGUUCCUGACGCUGAGGCACGAAGGUCAGGGGAGCAAACGGG
rnacentral:rRNA from 1 species